AUCCAGCUGACGAGUCCCGAAUAGGACGAAACGCGCGCCUUGGAC
rnacentral:hammerhead_ribozyme from 1 species